rnacentral:lncRNA from 1 species
GGAGUGCUUCGUUGGAAGUUUUUGGACGUAAGAACACGGAGAUCGACAAGUUCAAAGUUUGGCCGGAGCUUUCGAGGCGUUUUCCGGCGAAUCCUCGGCGAGUUAGGAGUCGAGGUAGGUAUCAAUCUCUUCGUCUCGUCAAGUACUACAACUUUCCUUUUUUUUUCACUCAAUUUCGUUGAGUAUUGAAGAAGUUAUACUCAUUUGAAAAAUACCCAGUUUCCGGCGACCUCCGAGGCUUUCGAGGCAGUUUCCGGCCAAACCACGGCGAACUAGGUGUUGUUCAAGGUACCAUUCUCUUUGUCUCUGCAAGGGCUACAACUUUCGUUUUUGAAUUACUUGAUUUCGUUGAGAAAUGACAAAGUUAUGGCAAUUUAAAAAACUGCCCGGAAAACGGCCGCCGGAAAAACCAGUCCGGCGACCCAAGGAAGAAGAAGGUGCUACAGUAAAAAUAAAAAAUAAAAUUAUUUUAAAAAUAUGUCGACGUCCGUGACGUCGAGUAGAUCACUGUGGUAUAUUCAUAUACCUAAAUUGAACACCGUAUGAGAAAGUUUUGAGGAUUGUUGGUUAGGUGUUCAAAUAACGUUUUAUAAUUUUCACAUUUAGGUGAAAAUGUGAAUUGAUGAUCCGACCGUUGGAUCGUCACCAAACUUUGAUACGUUGUAAUACGUAAUAUUUGAGGAUUAUUGGAACUUACGGAUUGGGAAUCCGAGUUACGGAUCUUCCGGAAUUGGAAUUGUAAGUCCAUAAUAUAAAAUGUUAACCGUCACUUAGUUUUGGAAAUUGACGGAGAUCCGACCGUUGGAUGGUAAUGAAAUUUUAGGAUGUUGUCCUAGAGGUAUAAUGUGGACCUCUGGAAGUUAUGGAUUUAAAAAAUCUGAGUGGCAGAUCUUCCGGAUCGAUCAACGUAGUGACGUAUUUUUAUAUAAGUUAUGUAUUCUAUCGAUAUGAAUUCUGAGCCUGGAUUUGAUUACUAUUCUAGGCGGCGAUCGUCAUGACGCCUUGAUGUGUGGUGCUAGGGAGUUGUUGGACGAACUCCAGGUGAGUGGGCAGUUUUGUUUUCCGUAUAUAUAUAUACUUGACGUUUCCCAGAAAUUGAAUUGAAAUGAAAAUAUGUUUAAAAUGAAAUGCAUAUGAGUUAUGUGGAAAAACGGGAAGUGAAAUACCAUGCAUAGAAUUGAUAUGAAAAGUAUAUAGAAAUGUGAGUUGAAAUGCCAUGCAUGAAUUAAUAUAUAUGAUGCAUAUGUAUGAAUUGGUGCGGUGGACGCACAUGUAAGAAUUGAUUUAUGAUGCAUAUGUAUGAAUUGGUGCGGUGGACGCACAUGUAAGAAUUGAUUUAUGAUGCAUAUGUAUGAAUUGGUGCGGUGGACGCACAGGUAAGAAUUGAUUUAUGAUGCAUAUGUAUGAAAUGGUGCGGUGGACGCACAGAUGAGUAUUUAAUUACUGUUAUGAUGAUGAUGAUAUAUAUUGAGCUCAAAUCCUGCACCAUGGUUUAGUGCUUAUAGUAUUCACCGCAUCGCACGCUCGCCUUGGAUCCAAGUAGAUGCUAGUCGUACAGUCCACGCGGAGUGGGUACGACAGACCAGUCGCGAGAGUGUUAGUGAGAUUCCGACUGGUGGGUGACCUUAGAUUAUGUGCACAGAUGAUUUAUGAGAAGCACUACUAGAGCGUAACUUGCGUGCAGAAGGCCGGACGGGUCACAGAGGUGACUCCGGUAGAGUGAUAAUGAUAGAUUUUUGAGCUCUAGGUUCAACCGUACAGGGCUAUUAGAGGGCCUACGGUUGAUUACUUUCUUGCACCUGAUAUGAUUAUGUUGAUGCAUUCAUACCUUAUUACUGUUGAGAUGAUGUGGCAUGGCAUAAUUAAUAUGAGAAAUGUUGAGAUGAUGUGGCAUGGCAUAAUUGUUAUGAAAAUGUUGAGUUAACGACUUGAAGUCUUGAGAAUAUAUAUGUAUAUUUUAUUUUUACAUUUCUGGGAAAAGUAUACAGGUUUUACGGAGAGGGGUUACAACGUUUUGAGAAAUGUUUGGAUUUGGAAAAAGAAUUGUUUUACUGACCCACUCAAUUUUGGUUUUGCGCCCCUCCAGGUUCAGGAAUCACAAAGGUGUGGUGACUACGAGGAAUUCGACGGUGUUCUGACAGAAUGGACCAAAUUAGGACGCACCUUCGGGUGUAUCAACUUAUAAAUUGUAUCUUAAAGCUUUCGUACUGUGCAAAUGGUUACGUCACUCUCACGUGACGGCCAGCAUGCCCUCCUUCGGGACGGGGUGUGUCAGUUGGUAUCAGAGCAUGGUUGCAAUCUUGGACAUUUUGAGAAGUUCUAGUGAAUUCUGUCAGAACUACACCGCCUCGUAGCAAACCACGUAGUUAGAGGAACUUAGUCUCCCCGAUUUAGCGGGUUGGGGGAAACUAUUAUUAUGGUGAUUCGGUAUAUUAUCAAAAUGGACAUUUUAAGAUGGGUAAUGAGUUGAACUUGAAUCACCUUAUGAAAUGAUGAACCUGAGGGAACGAAGUGACGGUUUAACCGUUUGGAAAAGAUGUUUCGGAAUAUGCAAGUUAAAGGAAAUUUCCUUCUGACAGGUGGGUCGAGACGACUACCUGAUUUUGGUUAUGAAUUUGUAUCCUGGUGGAAACAGGAGUAUGAAUUGUUGUCACCAGAGGAAUCAGUCGAUUGAGAAUUGUUUAAGGACUUGUUUAAAGGAAAAGUUUAUCCCUCCGGCAUUUAUCGAUGGUAGUAAACAAGAGUUUACAAAUAUGAGACAAGGAAGGUGAUGAUCGAGGGAUAUUAUAGAAAGUUUUCAGACUUGCCUCGUUGCAUCCAGAUAUUGUUGUUAAUUUGGUGGAGGUGUUAUGUUGUUUUAGCUGGGUGGCAAAAAGGGAAGUGGUAUUUUGGGUGACCACUAUCCAUUGUACUUCUUACCAGGAGUAUACAAGAUGUUGUUGAGCCUUGAGGACUCUGAGAACAUGAGCAACGAGAAUAAAGAAGAAUAAGAAAAGAAUAGGAAUUAAAAGAAGACGAUAAAGUUAAUGAUUCGUCAUAUCAAGGAUAUAGAAAGAUUCAGAGCUUCGAAAGAAGUGAAGCUAGAGUUAAUUUUUCCAGCUGAGGUUUUAAUGUCGCUGGUCAGAAUAAAAGUGAUGGAUAUACUGGUAAUCCCCGAUAUUUGAGACAAGGUGUCUCGAGUAAAGGAAAUGUACCUUGUGCAGCAGGUACAAAAUUAACACUUUGGGAAGUGUGAAAUUAAUGAAUGUGUUUAUGUGAACAGAGGGGACACAGAAUUGUGAAUCGUCCCUAGAAUCAGUUGUACACAACAGUUUUCUAUGACAUCAUAGUGUUGAUUCAGCAGAGUUAUGGAUUUAGUAGUUUGGUCGGAUUGACCGUGAGUACAGAGAGAUUUGAUGAGUUAUAUGUUCAGCCGUACAGACCAUGAGAAGUGGAUUCGAUUGACACAUGAGAAAUUGGUGAGUUAUAGGCUCGGCCGUACCGACCACGCGGAGUGGAUCCGGCCGACGUAUUAUUGAGAUAAGAGUUGAAUCAACCGUAUUGGUCAUUCUAGUUGACUUCGGCUGAUAUAUUUCUUAUUAUGUAUGUUAUUACCUAGAGAGUAGUAAAUAAAUGUAGUUGAGACGAGUGUAUGUAUUUUGCAUUGAGUAACAAAAUAGUAAUGUUAUAUCUUUGAGAGUGGUUGCCUACUUAUCGAGACAACGAUGAUUUAUCAGUAUUGCGGGCUGCAGACCGUAAUAUUAAUAACUCAUUCGUGGAUUCGUUAAGCAAGCAACCCGGUAGAUUAUUUUAUGUUAGUAUUGUACUUAUUUAGAAUGCUUAAUAAUAAUAGAAUAUAUAUUGUAUCAGUUAAUUCUGUUCCAUUAGAUUGGUUGGUUAUAAUUGUGACAAGACGGAAUGUUACGGGAAACCAGUACUUUCCAUCGAUCUGGAUGAACAGAGAUUACUUUUGUAAGUAUGCAAAAUGGAUUGAGUUAGGCUGUUAUUUAUGCUAUGAGAGCAAGGAGAUUGUUUUCGAAAGGCUGUCAAAAAUACUUAGCUCAUGUGGUGCUAAAUGAUGUUGUUUGGAGUAGUGUGAAUAAUGUCGAAAGAGUUAGACUUUUCUUGAUGUCUUCCUUGAAAGUAUACCUAGAUUGCCUUCAGGCAGAGAUAUGAGGUUCAUUAUUGAUUUGUUGCCAGGUAUAAAUUUAUAUUGGAGAUUGGUUCAGGAUGAGUUAAGGGAAUUGGAAAUUCAGUUGAGAGAAUUGGUUGAUAAAAGUUUUAUUCAACCUAGUACAACACUUUUGAGGAGCCCAGUUUGUUGGGUGAGGAAGAAAAAUGGAUCUUGAGACUGUUCAUUGAUUAUAGACAAUGGAGUCGGGUAACGAUUGAGAACCGUUAUCCAUGGUGAUGUACUGAUGUUUAUUUAACCAGCUCAUAAGUAAUUGCGAAGAUUCAAAGAUUGAAUUGAGAUCUGGUUACUACCAAUUAAAUAUUAUAAGUGACAUUGAUCAUAAGAUGGUUUUCUGGACUCGUUAUAGUCUUUAUGAAGUUUGGUGAUGCUAUAUGGAUACUCAUGCUGUUUUAUGAGUUAUUGGAUGAAGUAUUCCAAUAAUGCCUUGAUAAAUAGAUAUCAUUUUCAUUGAAGAUAUUCUGGUAUACUCUAAGCCUAGAGCAGAGCAUGUAAACGUAUUAAGUCGGUGAAGCAAAGAUUAAGAGAACGUUGGUUGUAUGCUAAGUUUAGCAAAUGCGAAUGUUGGAUGAAUCAAGUGGCAUUCUGAGAUUGGUUAUAUCUGCUUAAGGUAUUCAAAUGAAUUCUUAAAAGGCAGCAGAAUUGAGAAAUUGGAACAACCACAAGCCAUAAUUGAGAUUCGGAAAUUCUUAACUUAUCAGGCUAUUUUGGAUGGUUGUGAAAGAAUUUUUAGUCAUUGUUUUGUCAUUGAUGAGACUGUUGAGAAAGGAGGUUAUGUAUGAGUGGGAAGGAAAUUGUGAGCAAAGGAUUCAACAACUGAAGUAUUUCCUCACUCAUGCACGUAUUUUAGUAAUCCCAGAGAAUAAUGGUAAUCAUAAAUUUUUAGUGAUGUUUCUUGAAUGGUAUUGGAUGCAUGUUGAUGCAAAUGUUAGGGUGAUUGCAUACGUUUCACGAUAAAAGGAAUCUCAUAAGAUGAAUUACCCUACUGGUGAUUUGGAAGUCACGAUUACCAUUCUUGCUGUGAAGUUAUGGAGACAUUAUAUUUUAGUGGGAAUGCAAGAUUUUUUUUUUACGAAUCCAAAAAGUCUUCAAUAUCCAUUACUUGGAAGGAAUUUGAUAUGAGGCAGCGAAAGUGAAUUGUAUUGCUUAAUGAACAUGAUUGUACGAUCAGGGUGAUCGUAAAGUUUGUUCUAGCUGAAGCACUUGGUGAGAAGACUACAGUAAGAUUAAUAUCUGGCGCCAAGAGUAUCAUUUUGUGGAUUGAAAACCAACGGAAGAAAAAUUAAGAAUGGAAGAUCGAGAAGAAGUUAUACUUGUUAAGUAACAAGUUAGUACAUUUACCCCAAUGUUGAGUAACAACCUUUCCCAGACAGUGCAACACUACUUAUUUGUUUUAUGGAAAAGAGAAUUGGAUUACGGAACUGCUAAGUUUCUUAAGUAUGUUGGUUGUGCAGUUUCCGAAGUAACGCCAUAAGGACCAUGAAAUGUGUCACGUGAGUCGGUUUUUGAUGACUUGUGAAUGGAAUGUUUCUGGGUAGAGAAAGAUUCGAUCGAGAAAGAGUUUUAGUAGACCCUGAGACUAUGGAUGAGUCUCCUCAAAGUAUUCAGGUGAUUAAGUUAACCUGAAGUAACCAGGAAUGGCAAAAGAGAUCAACAGAUGGAUAUGCCACUAAUCGAGUGUGUAAGGUAAAUGGUUUGAUAUUUUUGGAAAAUUCACCACGAACAGAAAUGAAGAGAAUUGGAAAAGAGACAAGAUAAGAUUUAAACACAUCAGACCGUUUUGAUCAUUAAAAGAAUCAAUGAAGUUGCAUAUAAGUUUGUGAUGCCUUCAAAAUUGGCUAAGGUGCAUAAUGCAUUAUAUUUCGAUGCGUUGUCACUAGGUGGCAGAUUCGUCACAUGGGAUUCUGGUGCAACUAUUUAGAAUUCAAUUGGAUUCGACUUGAUAAGGAACCAAGGACUACUUUGGAUUGGGAAAAGAAGGUCCUGAGAAUUAAGACAGAGUAAGUGGUAAAAGCUUUGUGAAGGAAAUCAUUCAGUAGAAAAUUAUGUGGGAGAAAGAGAAACGGAUGAGAGAGAUUUACCCGAAGCUAUUGUUGGAGUAUGGUUGAUUUAGUUGAUUGCUGGAAUUUCGGGGACGAAAUUCUAUAACGAGGGAAGAUUGUCACAGCCCGUCCUGGAAUUUUAAUUCCGAGGACGUGAAAAGACGAAAAUGCCCUUAAACGGGAUUAAGGUGCGUAAUUUUGGUAUUGGUUUUACCUAAAAUUCCUAAGUUAUUGUUAAUUAAACUUAAACUUGGACUAAUAAUUUUGUGUUUGGACUUUAGGUAGGGUCCUACACCCUAAAUCCCUCCCCAUUUCCCGUUUGUUGUCUCUCUCUCAUCUCCUCAGUCACUCUCUCUCUCUUCCUUAGCUCUUCCUCAGAAACUCUCACUCUCUCUUUUCUUCUCGAACGCACGGGCAACCACCAAAACCACCUAAAACCUAUACCAACGUCCAAGUUAAGACCACAUUUGGACUCCUGGAACUUCCACGAUCACGUAGACAUCAAUUUCAGGUAAGUUCUACUUCGGAAAACCCUAGUUUUCAAAGUACUCGUGAAAUGGUACUGUUCAUGAUCUUUUAAAUGGUUACGAUUUAGGCUAAAACAAGAUCACAGCGAGCUUAGUGAGGUCCCAAGGAAGCUCGGAGUGCUUCGUUGGAAGUUUUUGGACGUAAGAACACGGAGAUCGACAAGUUCAAAGUUUGGCCGGAGCUUUCGAGGAGUUUUCCGGCGAAUCCUCGGCGAGUUAGGAGUCGAGGUAGGUAUCAAUCUCUUCGUCUCGUCAAGUACUACAACUUUCCUUUUUGUUUCACUCAAUUUCGUUGAGUAUUGAAGAAGUUAUACUCAUUUGAAAAAUACCCAGUUUCCGGCGACCUCCGAGGCUUUCGAGGCAGUUUCCGGCCAAACCACGGCGAACUAGGUGUUGUUCAAGGUACCAUUCUCUUUGUCUCUUCAAGGGCUACAACUUUCGUUUUUGAAUUACUUGAUUUCGUUGAGAAAUGACAAAGUUAUGGCAAUUUAAAAAACUGCCCGGAAAACGGCCGCCGGAAAAACCAGUCCGGCGACCCAAGGAAGAAGAAGGUGCUACAGUAAAAAUAAAAAAUAAAAUUAUUUUAAAAAUAUGUCGACGUCCGUGACGUCGAGUAGAUCACUGUGGUAUAUUCAUAUACCUAAAUUGAACACCGUAUGAGAAAGUUUUGAGGAUUGUUGGUUAGGUGUUCAAAUAACGUUUUAUAAUUUUCACAUUUAGGUGAAAAUGUGAAUUGAUGAUCCGACCGUUGGAUCGUCACCAAACUUUGAUACGUUGUAAUACGUAAUAUUUGAGGAUUAUUGGAACUUACGGAUUGGGAAUCCGAGUUACGGAUCUUCCGGAAUUGGAAUUGUAAGUCCAUAAUAUAAAAUGUUAACCGUCA